CCUACGGGAGGCAGCAGUGGGGAAUAUUGGGCAAUGGGCGCAAGCCUGACCCAGCAACGCCGCGUGAAGGAAGAAGGCUUUCGGGUUGUAAACUUCUUUUCUCAGGGACGAAGCAAGUGACGGUACCUGAGGAAUAAGCCACGGCUAACUACGUGCAAGGAGCCGCGGUAAUACGGAGGUGGCAAGGGUUAUCCGGAUUUACUGGGUGUAAAGGGCGUGUAGGCGGGACCGCAAGUCAGAUGUGAAAACCAUGGGCUCAACCUGUGGCCUGCAUUUGAAACUGUAGUUCUUGAGUACUGUGGAGGCAGACGGAAUGCCUGGUGUAGCGGUGAAAUGCGUAGAUAUUAGGAGGAACACCAGUGGCGAAGGCGGUCUGCUGGACAGCAACUGACGCUGAGGCGCGAAAGCGUGGGGAGCGAACAGGAUUAGAUACCCGGGUAGUC
rnacentral:rRNA from 1 species